AGAGUUUGAUCCUGGCUCAGRAYGAACGCURGCGGSRKGCCUAACACAUGCAAGUCGAACGGRRUUGAGGRGCUUGCUUCYCAWSWKAGUGGCGCACGGGUGAGUAACGCGUAUGCAACCUACCUUUAACAGAGGGAUAGCCCAUAGAAAUGUGGAUUAAAACCUCAUAGUUCUAUUUGAUCGCAUGAUCAGAUAGAUAAAACUCCGGUGGUUAAAGAUGGGCAUGCGUGACAUUAGCUAGUUGGUAAGGUAACGGCUUACCAAGRCUACGAUGUCUAGGGGUUCUGAGAGGAUGAUCCCCCACACUGGUACUGAGACACGGACCAGACUCCUACGGGAGGCAGCAGUGAGGAAUAUUGGUCAAUGGGCGCAAGCCUGAACCAGCCAUCCCGCGUGAAGGAUGAAGGUCCUAUGGAUUGUAAACUUCUUUUAUACACCAAGAAAAACUCGAACGUGUUCGAGCCCGACGGUAGUGUAUGAAUAAGCAUCGGCUAACUCCGUGCCAGCAGCCGCGGUAAUACGGAGGAUGCAAGCGUUAUCCGGAUUCAUUGGGUUUAAAGGGUGCGUAGGCGGCUCUUUAAGUCAGUGGUGAAAUCCUGCCGCUUAACGGUAGAAUUGCCAUUGAUACUGAAGAGCUUGAGUACAGUUGAGGUAGGCGGAAUGUGUAGUGUAGCGGUGAAAUGCUUAGAUAUUACACAGAACACCGAUUGCGAAGGCAGCUUACUAAACUGUUACUGACGCUGAUGCACGAAAGCGUGGGGAGCGAACAGGAUUAGAUACCCUGGUAGUCC
rnacentral:rRNA from 1 species